GAUGAACGCUGGCGGCGUGCCUAAUACAUGCAAGUCGAGCGAACGGACGAUAAGCUUGCUUCUCUGAUGUUAGCGGCUGACGGGUGAGUAACACGUGGAUAACCUACCUAUAAGACUGGGAUAACUUCGGGAAACCGGAUCUAAUACCGGAUAAUAUUUUGAACCGCAUGGUUCAAAAGUGAAAGACGGUCUUGCUGUCACUUAUAGAUGGUUCCGCGCUUGAUUAGCUAGUUGGUAAGGUAACGGCUUACCAAGGCAACGAUGCAUAGCCGACCGGAGAGGGUGAUCGGGCACAACGGAACUGAGAAACGGUCCAGAACCCCAAGGGAGGGAGCAGGUGGGAAUUUUUCGCAAUGGGCGAAAGCCUGACGGAGCAACGCCGCGUGAGUGAUGAAGGUCUUCGGAUCGUAAAACUCUGUUAUUAGGGAAGAACAUAUGUGUAAGUAACUGUGCACAUCUUGACGGUACCUAAUCAGAAAGCCACGGCUAACUACGUG
rnacentral:rRNA from 1 species